AGGAGGAGCUGGUCAAUAUCGAACUAGAGAAGGAGAGGUUAGCGGAGAAGCUCAAAGCCUGGGAAAACCUCGGACAAUCGACUGGACUCAACAUAAGGAAACCAGAGGAUCUGUCCAGGGAGGUGAUUCACAUCCAGCAGAGAGAAAUUGCUCUGAAAGAGCAGAACUACACUCUCAGCAGCCGUGUGAGGAGUGCAGAGCGCUCGCAGAAUGAGCAUCGAGUCGGGCUGGGCCAGCAGCGCAGCAAGACUCUGGAGGAGCAGAAGAAGAGGGAGACGCAGGACAGUCUCGUCCGGAGACUCCAGAAGAGAGUCCUGUUGUUAACCAAGGUGACAAAGACACACAACAA